AUUGAACGCUGGCGGCAUGCCUUACACAUGCAAGUCAACGGUAACAGGUCUUCGGAUGCUGACGAGUGGCGAACGGGUGGGUAAUGCAUCGGAACGUGCCCAGUAGUGGGGGAUAGCCCGGCGAAAGCCGGAUUAAUACCGCAUACGACCUGAGGGUGAACGGGGGGGAUCGCAAGACCUCUCGCUAUUGGAGCGGCCGAUGUCAGACUAGCUAGUUGGUGGGGUAAAGGCCUACCAAGGCAACGAUCUGUAGUUGGUCUGAGAGGACUACCCGACAGACGGGGACUGAGACACGGCCCAGACUCCAACGGGAGGCAGCAGGGGGGAAUGUUGGACAAUGGGCGCAAGCCUGAUCGAGGAAUGCGGCGUGCAGGAAGAAGGCCGUCGGGUUGUAAAGUGCUUUGGUGAGGGAAGAAAUCUUCUGGGUUAAUACCUCGGGGGGAUGACGGUACCUGAAGAAUAAGCACCGGCUAACUACGUGCCAGAAGCCGCGGUAA
rnacentral:rRNA from 1 species